CCUGGGUGGCAGCAGUGGGGAAUAUUGGACAAUGGGCGAAAGCCUGAUCCAGCCAUGCCGCGUGUGUGAAGAAGGCCUUCGGGUUGUAAAGCACUUUCAGUGGGGAAGAAAGCCUUGGGGCUAAUACCCUCGAGGAAGGACAUCACCCACAGAAGAAGCACCGGCUAACUCCGUGCCAGCAGCCGCGGUAAUACGGAGGGUGCGAGCGUUAAUCGGAAUUACUGGGCGUAAAGCGCGCGUAGGCGGUCUGAUAAGCCGGUUGUGAAAGCCCCGGGCUCAACCUGGGAACGGCAUCCGGAACUGUCAGGCUAGAGUGCAGGAGAGGAAGGUAGAAUUCCCGGUGUAGCGGUGAAAUGCGUAGAGAUCGGGAGGAAUACCAGUGGCGAAGGCGGCCUUCUGGACUGACACUGACGCUGAGGUGCGAAAGCGUGGGUAGCAAACAGGAUUAGAUACCCCUGUAGUC
rnacentral:rRNA from 1 species